GAGACUUCAGGUCAGGCGGGGCUACCCGCUGAAUU
rnacentral:rRNA from 1 species